UACGGAGGGUGCAAGCGUUGCUCGGAAUCACUGGGCGUAAAGAGCGUGUAGGCGGCUCCGUAUGUCUGGCGUGAAAGCCCCGGGCUCACCCUGGGAAGUGCGUCGGAAACUGCGGAACUAGAGUCCCGGAGAGGAAGGUGGAAUUCCAGGUGUAGCGGUGAAAUGCGUAGAUAUCUGGAAGAACACCGGUGGCGAAAGCGGCCUUCUGGACGGUGACCGACGCUGAGGUGCGAAAGCGUGGGGAGCAAACAGG
rnacentral:rRNA from 1 species